rnacentral:rRNA from 1 species
GAUGAACGCUGGCGGCGUGCUUAACACAUGCAAGUCGAACGGAAAGGCCCAAGCGUGCUUGGGUACUCGAGUGGCGAACGGGUGAGUAACACGUGGGUGAUCUGCCCUGCACGUCGGGAUAAGCCUGGGAAACUGGGUCUAAGACCGGAUAGGACGAUGGUUUGGAUGCUGUUGUGGAGAGUUUUUUCGGUGUGGGAUGAGCUCGCGGCCUAUCAGCUUGUUGGUGGGGUAAUGGCCUACCAAGGCGUCGACGGGUAGCCGGCCUGAGAGGGUGUACGGCCACAUUGGGACUGAGAUAUGGCCCAGACUCAGACGGGAGGCAGCAGUGGGGAAUAUUGAAAAAUGGGAGCAAGCCUAAUGCAGCGACGCCGAGUGGGGGAUGACGGCCUUCGGGUUGUAAACGCCUUUCGCUAGGGACGAAGCGUUUUUGUGACGGUACCUGGAGAAGAAGCACCGGCUAACUACGUG